GGAAUAUUUCACGCAAAAAUUUAAAUUUGCUUAAAAAUUUACUCACCCUCAGGUAUUUAGGAUGUAGAUGAGUUUGUUUCUUCAGAUUCUAAAACAAAUCUGUUAAGGCAUUUUACCUUUAAACCGUCACUUCCAAGUCCAUAAUCCAUAAUCACGCUCCAUCUCCUGUUGUCUCUCACAUCAUAAUCCACCCACAUAUUUGUUUAGAGCUGUUUUGGUCUGUUUGUCUUGUAAACGGUGCUUGAUCUGUGCAGAUUUCGCUCCUGAUUCAGGCCAGACCACUUUUUAUCAGCUGUUUGGACUCUCAUUCUGACGGCACCCAUUCACUGCAGAGGAUCCAUUGCUGAGACAGUGAUGCAAUGCUACAUUUCUCCAGAUCUGAUGAAGAAACAAACUCAUCAACAUCAUGGAUGAGCUGAGGGCUGACGGCACGUGUUCCAGCGGUCUGCAAAGAAAGACAGCUAUUUAUAGCUCCUGGGUGCGGCUAGGAAUAGCAACACGUGAGUCUGGAGCAGCUGUACUGGAGGAGAGGGAGAGCUGGAUUCGGCCGGCGCAGAUUCCCCAUUCACAGAACGAGCUUUCUCAGAGUCGGCCGUCUAAACACUCGGACUCUGUCCCAAAACCUAGUGAGCUGCCUUGGUGUCUAAUGCCUGUAUACACUGGCAGUCGCCUUCUAAAGCAGAUUCCUGACUGAAAUGGAAGCUCAUAAGUGACUGAUUUAGAAUGCGCUUAAUUGUCAGCAACACUGUAAAUAACACACAGGGCAUUUUUAUUGGAUUAAAUGAUAUUUAGAAUCAACGCUUGAAUUGCUUUGUGCUUUGUCUCUCAUCUUGGAUACAUUUUUUUUUUUUUUUUUAUCUUACUGAGCUUAUGGAAAUCCUUGGGAUUGCCUUCACCACAAAGGAACCAUGCAGUGCUGUCUUAAAAUGUGGCUAAAAGAAUGUUACAUAAGUUAUAAGGCAGCAUAAUUAUGCGUCUGUAGCACACAAAUUAUGCCUCAACAUGAUCAGCUCAGUAGGAUUUGGAAUAGAUCCUAAGAUACACUCAUGUUUAAAAGUUUGGGGACUUUAAUAUUUUUUUAAAUGUUUUCAAG
ensembl:lncRNA